ACUGUCUCUUAUAUAAUCAAUUAAACUGAUCUCCUAGUAAAAAAGCUAGAAUUACAACAUAAGACCAGAAGACCCUGUGAAGCUUAAAUUAAACUAUUAAACCGUAUAAUAGCUAUUUUCGGUUGGGGCGACCUUGGAAAAAAAAAGAACUUCCAAACAUCAUGACUAUACCUCAUACCACAAACAGGCCAACAAGCCUAAAAUUGACCCAGCAUAGCUGACAAUUGAACCAAGUUACUCCAGGGAUAACAGCGCAAUCUUCUUCAAGAGCCCAUAUCAAAAGGAAGGUUUACGACCUCGAUGUUGGAUCAGGACAUCCUAAUGGUGCAGCCGCUAUUAAAGGUUCGUUUGUUCAACGAUUAAUAGUCCMSGGKKRAUCUGA
rnacentral:rRNA from 1 species